CAAAGAGAAGCGACCUCGCGAGAGCAAGCGGACCUCAUAAAUGCGUCGUAGUCCGGAUUGGAGUCUGCAACUCGACUCCAUGAAGUCGGAAUCGCUAGUAAUCGUAGAUCAGAAUGCUACGGUGAAUACGUUCCCGGGCCUUGUACACACCGCCCGUCACACCAUGGGAGUGGGUUGCAAAAGAAGUAGGUAG
rnacentral:rRNA from 1 species